rnacentral:rRNA from 1 species
UACAGAGGUCUCAAGCGUUAAUCGGAGUCACUGGGCGUAAAGGGUGCGUAGGCGGGUCUUUAAGUCAGGGGUGAAAUCCUGGAGCUCAACUCCAGAACUGCCUUUGAUACUGAAGAUCUUGAGUUCGGGAGAGGUGAGUGGAACUGCGAGUGUAGAGGUGAAAUUCGUAGAUAUUCGCAAGAACACCAGUGGCGAAGGCGGCUCACUGGCCCGAUACUGACGCUGAGGCACGAAAGCGUGGGGAGCAAACAGGG